rnacentral:tRNA from 1 species
UCCCUGGUGGUCCAGGGGUUAAGAUUCUGCAUUCCCACUGUGGGGGCAUGGGUUCAAUCCCCAGCUGGGGAA